rnacentral:rRNA from 1 species
GAUGAACGCUGGCGGCGUGCUUAACACAUGCAAGUCGAACGGAAAGGCGCUGCUUUUGCGGGGCGCUCGUGUGGCGAACGGGUGUGAAACACGUGAGUAUCACGCCCUUGACUUUGGGAUAACUUCAGGAAACUGGGGCUAAUACCGGAUAGGAGCUCCUGCUGCAUGGUGGGGGAUGGAAAGUUACGGCGGUUGGGGAUGGACUCGCGGCUUAUCAGCUUGUUGGUGGGGUAGUGGGUUACCAAGGCUUUGACGGGUAGCCGGCCUGUGAGGGUGACCGGCGACAUUGGGACUGAGAGACGGCCCAGUCUCCUACGGGAGGCAGCGGUGGGGAAUAUAGCGGAAUAGGCGGGAGCCUGUUACAGCGACGCCGCGUGCGGAAUAACAGCCUUCGGGUUGUGAACCGCUUUCGCCUGAGACGAGGCGUGAGUGACGGUAAUGGGUAAAGAAGCACCGGCUAACUACGUG